rnacentral:rRNA from 1 species
AUUGAACGCUGGCGGCAUGCCUUACACAUGCAAGUCGAACGGCAGCACGGGUGCUUGCACCUGGUGGCGAGUGGCGAACGGGUGAGUAAUACAUCGGAACAUGUCCUGUAGUGGGGGAUAGCCCGGCGAAAGCCGGAUUAAUACCGCAUACGAUCUACGGAUGAAAGCGGGGGACCUUCGGGCCUCGCGCUAUAGGGUUGGCCGAUGGCUGAUUAGCUAGUUGGUGGGGUAAAGGCCUACCAAGGCGACGAUCAGUAGCUGGUCUGAGAGGACGACCAGCGACACUGGGACUGAGACACGGCCCAGACUCCUACGGGAGGCAGCAGUGGGGAAUUUUGGACAAUGGGCGAAAGCCUGAUCCAGCAAUGCCGCGUGUGUGAAGAAGGCCUUCGGGUUGUAAAGCACUUUUGUCCGGAAAGAAAGCCUUGGCCCUAAUACGGUCGGGGGAUGACGGUACCGGAAGAAUAAGCACCGGCUAACUACGUG